UAGGCCUAACACAUGCAAGUCGAACUAGCUCUAGCGCAAGUUAGAGUGGGUGGCGGACGGGUGAGGAACACGUAAGAACCUACCUUUUGGGGGAGGAUAACUGCUGGAAACGGCAGCUAAUACUCCGUAUGCUGAGGAGCGAAAGGUCGAAAGACCGCCAAAAGAUGGGCUUGCGUCUGAUUAGCUAGUUGGUGAGGUAAAUGCUUACCAAGGCGACGAUCAGUAGCUGGUCUGAGAGGGUGAUCAGCCACACUGGGACUGAGACACGGCCCAGACUCCUACGGGAGGCAGCAGUGAGGAAUUUUCCGCAAUGGGCGAAAGCCUGACGGAGCAAUACCGCGUGAAGGAAGAGAGGCCUGUGGGUUGUAAACUUCUUUUCUCAGAGACGAAAUUUGACG
rnacentral:rRNA from 1 species